rnacentral:rRNA from 1 species
GAUGAACGCUGGCGGCGUGCCUAAUACAUGCAAGUCGAGCGAACAGACGAUGAGCUUGCUCCUCUGACGUUAGCGGCGGACGGGUGAGUAACACGUGGAUAACCUACCUAUAAGACUGGGAUCACUUCGGGAAACCGGAGCUAAUACCGGAUAAUAUAUUGAACCGCAUGGUUCAAUAGUGAAAGACGGUUUUGCUGUCGGUUGUAGAUGGAUCCGCGCUUCAUUAGCUAGUUGGUAGGGUAGCGGCUUACCAAGGCAACGACGGGUAGCCGGCCGGAGAGGGUGAACGGCCACAGUGGGAGGGAGAUAGGGACCAGAAUCCUACGGGAGGCAGCAGUGGGGAAUAUUGCACAAUGGGAGGAAGCCUGAUGGAGCAACGCCGGGUGCGGGAUGACGGCCGUCGGGUUGUAAAACGCUUUCGCCUGGGAAGAAGCGUGAGGGACGGUAAUGGGUAAAGAAGCAACGGCGAACUAAAUG